rnacentral:rRNA from 1 species
GAACUGAAGAGUUUGAUCAUGGCUCAGAUUGAACGCUGGCGGCAGGCCUAACACAUGCAAGUCG